UACGUAGGGGGCUAGCGUUAUCCGGAUUCACUGGGUUUAAAGGGUGCGUAGGAGGGCAGGUAAGUCAGUGGUGAAAUCUCCGAGCUUAACUUGGAAACUGCCGUUGAUACUAUCUGUCUUGAAUAUUGUGGAGGUGAGCGGAAUAUGUCAUGUAGCGGUGAAAUGCUUAGAUAUGACAUAGAACACCAAUUGCGAAGGCAGCUCGCUACACAUAUAUUGACUCUGAGGCACGAAAGCGUGGGGAUCAAACAGG
rnacentral:rRNA from 1 species